AGAACCAGGACAUUUACUGUGGAGGAAUAUUAUCCCCAUCGUCGCUCACAUCACAACUUUGUCACCCGUCCCAAGUGUUUCUGUGGCUGUCCCCAUCUUCCAGGGUCACGUGUUGCAUUUAGUUGUCGCGUCUGGAUGUGUACAGGCGGUUAUUAAAAUGCCCCUCCGUGGAGGGUCAGCUCUCCGGGCUGCGCGGGACGCCCGCCCAGCUCGCGCUCAACCUUCCUCGUGGCCGCGACGCGACCAGCGAGUGCCCAGGGCUAGAGCGGCGCCGCGCUUCCGGUUCGGGAGGCGUGGAUUCCGGGGGUGCGUGGAGGCGGCUGCGGCUCUGCGGGUUGGUGGUGUGGUCCAUCCAGACAAUGGAAUAUUAUUCGGUACUGAAAAGAAACCAGCUGUCAAGCCAUAAAAAGACACA
rnacentral:lncRNA from 1 species